rnacentral:lncRNA from 1 species
CCACUCACUUCAUUUGCGGUCUUACUUGCUACAACUCGCGCGUGACUCAACUCACUCUCGACCCGGCGGGUUACUCAGGCACUCUCUCCCCACUCAUCUCCAAACUCACUGAGCUGACUCACCUCGACAUCUCGGAGAACAAUUUCUUCGGCCCAAUCCCACCCUCUCUCUCCUCUCUCGCGAAUCUCCAAAUACUCUCUCUCCGAUUCAACUCGUUCUCCGGCUGGGUCCCACCAUCAGUCUUCGCGCUCAAGAAACUAGAAUCACUAGACUUGUCUCAUAAUUCUCUCUCAGGAUCACUACCAAACACGUUGAACUCGGCGACGAGUCUG